UAGGGAAUCUUCGGCAAUGGGGGGAACCCUGACCGAGCAACGCCGCGUGAGUGAAGAAGGUUUUCGGAUCGUAAAGCUCUGUUGUUAAGGAAGAACGAGUGUGAGAAUGGAAAGUUCAUACUGUGACGGUACUUAACCAGAAGGGACGGCUAACUACGUGCCAGCAGCCGCGGUAAUACGUAGGUCCCGAGCGUUGUCCGGAUUUAUUGGGCGUAAAGCGAGCGCAGGCGGUUAGAUAAGUCUGAAGUUAAAGGCAGUGGCUCAACCAUUGUAGGCUUUGGAAACUGUUUAACUUGAGUGCAGAAGGGGAGAGUGGAAUUCCAUGUGUAACGGUGAAAUGCGUAGAUAUAUGGAGGAACACCGGUGGCGAAAGCGGCUCUCUGGUCUGUAACUGACGCUGAGGCUCGAAAGCGUGGGGAGCGAACAGG
rnacentral:rRNA from 1 species